UUAUCAUACACUUCCGCUUGUUCCUCUUUAUCCGGAUGGAAAACCCGUCAGCAAGAUCAUGAAAAAUACAGCAACGGCAGUAUGGUUUUUUGACGACUUGUUUGACAGUGUCAACGGAACGAGCACAAACGAAAAAAAAUCGAAGUGAACAUUUCUGCGCAAGGCUGUUACAGCAAAAUCAGCACAUCAUAAGCU